UUUUUUUAAAAAAAAAAACUAAUCAUUUCCGACUCUAAUUAAUCCGUUUGAACAAAAAUCAACGUUUUUUUUUGAGAAUAAGGUACCAUGCUAUCCGCUUCAUUCAUUGAAAAGAUGAAUUAAGCUACAGGAGUGAGGCAGCUAGGCUUGGGUUCGAAAAAAAAAUAAAAAAAAAUAAAAAAAAAAACUACUGAUUAACGAUAAGUGUUGAUCCCAUUCGGAAGACAACUGAUUAACCUUACAAACAGCUUUGAGGGGGUCAAACCGAAUCAAUCUGAAAAUUAAGUCGUUUCUGCACUCCCAUAUGGUCCACCAACAAGCCGGAAGUUUUGGGGUCCUUUGCGGCAUAGAAUGUGGGCCCUUCCUAACCGCCCACCUGUAUAUAAUUGACGUUGAAAUGCCAAAAGUACAGUAUAUAAUUGAUUAAAAUUCAUUAAAUUAUAACUAUUAAUUUAGACUACGUUUAGUUCGGAUGUAAAUAAAAACUGUUUAUUUUUGAAAUAGAUACAAGUUUUUUUUUUUUGAGAGAUAAAUAGAUACAAGUUUAGAUAUAAGCAAGAAUUAAAGUAAAUUUUAUUUGAAUGAAAAUUGGGUUGUUUAUGGAAAUAAUCAUAAUAGUAUUUAGAUAGUUAAAUUAGAAUAGGCGGAAUAAAAAUAAUUAUAAUUCUAAAUUAAUAAUAUUUUAGCUAAUUAAUUAAUAUCAAAAUAUUAAUUGAAAAUAGUUUAAUAGAAUAAAAAUUUAU
rnacentral:lncRNA from 1 species